UCGUCAGCCCGUGACGAGGGAGGAGCGAGUGGUUCGCCGCCCCAUCCCCGUUCCUCUGGUCGCCCCCCAUGGUGACUGCUGCCACUUCCAGGUCUUCCUCCUCCUCUCAACUUCUCCUACCCUAGUUCCCUGAGUGGCCACAUGUUCUUCCUCCUCGGCUCCUCCUCAUCUCCAUUCUCCACUUGUCCCCUACUCCCCUGACCCCCUGAGCAACUGCUCGAGUCCCCUCCCAAUCCAGUCCCCAAAUCCACUUUGUAUGCUUGCUCUUUUCUUCUAGAUCCUUUCUCAAAUCAAGCAGUAGCAAGUGAGUAUCAAGUGGAUCUGCAGGCUAUACCUGCAAAUUCGCGCGAGAGGGGGUGGUUGGGGGGGACGGGGUGCUGGCGAUUCAGUUUUUGCAAGUUGCAAGCUGGGAGCGAUGACUCCAUUUAUGUUAUGUGGCUUUAAGUUUCAGCAAUUCUAUCUUGACAUGUAAAUUGCAGACCACCUUUAUUUCUUUAUUUUAGAUGGUCAGGGUAAGUAGAUUACUUCAAGUAAAAGAACAAAUGUGGAAUUACUAUUUUUCAGUUGAUAAAAAUUUGUUUACAAAUUCCAAUUUAGGUAGCAAUGGGCAGAAACAGAGGAACAGCUAUGCAUUCAUUUUUGCUGAAUCUUUAGUGAAUCAUUCACUCCAUGAACUUGCACUUUCUUGCUUUUACUUGCUAUUUUUUUUCAUAAAUCUGAACCUGUUGGCCCCCCUCAUUUUUGGUUCGCGCUCCGCCACUGUACAUAGCUGAAUUCAUUAAUGUGAACAAAGUUCAGUUAGUUUCUAGUGUACCAGAUCAGAACAGAGGCAUGCUCCUGGCAUGUGGAGAGUCUGAUCAACUCGCAUGCCGUCUCGAGGUUGGCAACGAUGCCUGAUAUGGCGGGCCGGUCCUUCCCGACAAACUUCACACAACAUCGUGCAAUCUGCGCCACACGCUUCAGUGUGUGCAGGUGCCAUGGCGUUGGCUCCGGUACAGGUCACCUAUCUAGCAUCUCCUCAAUAUUAUCGGCCUCAAUGAUGGGGAGUGCAAAGGAUGCCAGAUCUCUAUUCAUCUCCUCCUUUGCUUGGGAAAACGCCUUUUUCCCUGUCAGAACCUCAAGCUUAACCACGCUGAGGCUGUACACGUCGCUCGCCGGCUUCAGAUGACCUGUGUGAAGGUACUCAAGGUCGAUGUACCCAAGUGUGCCUCUAGCUGUGACAUCCAACCACGACACCAGAUGUGCCGAAGACGAAGGGAGGGGCCGUAGCCGGGGAGGUGCCGGCGGCUGGCGCCGAGGAGGUGCCCGGCGACGUGACCGAGCUCGUGGCGGCGGAGGAGGAGGAGGAGGUGUUGUCCGCGGCCAUGAAGAGGGUCCUGGCGACUAAUACCAAGUUGGAAAGUGUUUGUGCAAAUUUCCUUGAUUGAUUCUGUUACACAUGAGAGUAUACAUAGAGAGGGAGAGAGAGUCCCAAGAGUUGAGGCACGCAGGCCAUGCGGGAGACCUCAGAUCCUACACUCUAGGAUCGAUACAACGUGAUAGUACAACAUUACAAUUGAUACAAAAAUAUACAACUUAACAUUCUCUACAUGCCGCUGCCAUUUGAGUGGACGAGACUUGCCUGCUCCUCCGUCAUAUGCCCAUCCGUCGAGGAGGGUGUGGCCUGUGGUGCUUUCAUGGCGGCGAGAGCGAGGGGACGGAGGAAUUGCACUCUGCUCUGCUGUACGCAGAGCAUAAUGGCACAAUCUCUACACAGAAUACGCCGAUCUUUUGGCAAGUCUGACACUUCAGAAAUCUGUGUGCAGCUCGCUCGAUCUUUUGGCAAGUCUGACAGAGGAGGUGGAUACCGAGACUUUGGAGCACAAACAGAGUCCAUUAUGUGCACGGCCGGCAGCGUGGAGAAAUGUCAGAGAAGAAAUGUCAGUGAGCAUGCUGAGAUAAUCUGGACACAACAUGCGUCGAUUAGCAAAUCUGACUUAAUGUGCUCAAAGCUCUACUCAUCUUAUCAAGUCUGACAAAAUGGCUAGGCAGUUUCAUUCUUGUUAAUGGAGUUAGCACAGAUGGUUCAUUGUUAUUAAUGGCAGAUGGACACAUAAUUCUAUUCA